UAAGUUAAGUGGAUAUGUUUUACGGCAGUCCACUAGCAAUUGAUCGGUUGUCAAGUGGUCUAUUUCAAGAGGUGAUUACCACGAAUACCAUUCCGGUGUCUGAAAAGAACUAUUUACCACCGCUGACUGUCUUAUUGGUAGCAAACCUACUUGGCGAGAGCAUCUGGCGUGUGCAUGAUGAUUACCCUCUGUAAAGCAAGAUUUUACUGUUGUCUCAUGCUUGCUUCAGUCUCUAUAAGUACUUCAUCAAGCUCAACACUCUACAAACCCUCAACUACACUCAACUGACGUACUGCUUUUACAUCUACAUCUGUAAAGCAAGAUUUUACUGUUGUCUGAAAGAGAGCAUGCUUGCUUCAGUCUCUACAAAUACUUCAUCAAGCUCAACACUCUACAAACACUCAACUGAGACGAAUUAAACUUUCAAAUUAAUAUAUUGACUCUUUGCAUCUGGAUCUUGCGUUGUUUCUCGGCUCUCACAUCAAGGUUUCACAUUUUUUGUCGGCUUUUUACAUCUGCCUCUUGCAUUGUUGUAAGUUCUUCCAAAUUUCUUGGUUUUUUUGUAACUUUUAACUGUGGCUUUUAACUUUAGAAGGUUGUAAAUGUUGAAAUAACUGUGGUUUUUGGAUC